GACCUACCCUUCAAUCUUCCUGAUUGUGGCAAGGUCGAAAAUUCCCUUCGCAGACACUGAACCCCGCGUUCAGCAGCUCUGCGAAGGGUCAUGUCUCGAAAGGGACAUGGGAGAGGCCGCAAGGUUUCUCU
rnacentral:sRNA from 1 species